rnacentral:rRNA from 1 species
UACAGAGGUCUCAAGCGUUGUUCGGAUUCAUUGGGCGUAAAGGGUGCGUAGGCGGCGCGGUAAGUCGGGUGUGAAAUCUCGGAGCUUAACUCCGAAACUGCAUUCGAUACUGCCGUGCUUGAGGACUGGAGAGGAGACUGGAAUUUACGGUGUAGCGGUGAAAUGCGUAGAUAUCGUAAGGAAAGACCAGUGGCGAAGGCGGGGUCUCUGG